UCUCUGGUAGUAUAUCGGUUAGUACACGCGCCUGUCAUCUUGGGUCCUAAAUAGAUCCGCGCGAAAGCUGGGUUUGACUCCCAGCCAGAGAG